rnacentral:rRNA from 1 species
GACAGAGGGUGCAAACGUUGUUCGGAAUUACUGGGCGUAAAGCGCGUGUAGGCGGCUAUGUAAGUCGGGCGUGAAAUCCCACGGCUCAACCGUGGAAGUGCACCCGAAACUGCGUAGCUAGAGUCCUGGAGAGGAAGGUGGAAUGCUUGGUGUAGAGGUGAAAUUCGUAGAUAUCAAGCGGAACACCGGUGGCGAAGGCGACCACCUGGACUGAUACUGACACUGAGGUGCGAAAGCGUGGGGAGCAAACAGG